rnacentral:rRNA from 1 species
UACGAAGGGGACUGGCGUUGUUCGGAAUUACUGGGCGUAAAGCGCGCGUAGGCGGAUCGCUAAGUCAGGGGUGAAAUCCCAGGGCUCAACCCUGGAACUGCCUUUGAUACUGACGAUCUGGAGAUCGGGAGAGGUUGGUGGAAUUCCGAGUGUAGAGGUGAAAUUCGUAGAUAUUCGGAGGAACACCAGAAGCGAAGGCGGCCAACUGGCCCGAUACUGACGCUGAGGCGCGAAAGCUAGGGGAGCAAACGGG